GGUUAAGCGACUAAGCGUACACGGUGGAUGCCCUGGCAGUCAGAGGCGAUGAAGGACGUGCUAAUCUGCGAUAAGCGUCGGUAAGGUGAUAUGAACCGUUAUAACCGGCGAUUUCCGAAUGGGGAAACCCAGUGUGAUUCGUCACACUAUCAUUAACUGAAUCCAUAGGUUAAUGAGGCGAACCGGGGGAACUGAAACAUCUAAGUACCCCGAGGAAAAGAAAUCAACCGAGAUUCCCCCAGUAGCGGCGAGCGAACGGGGAGCAGCCCAGAGCCUGAAUCAGUGUGUGUGUUAGUGGAAGCGUCUGGAAAGGCGCGCGAUACAGGGUGACAGCCCCGUACACAAAAAUGCACAUGCUGUGAGCUCGAUGAGUAGGGCGGGACACGUGGUAUCCUGUCUGAAUAUGGGGGGACCAUCCUCCAAGGCUAAAUACUCCUGACUGACCGAUAGUGAACCAGUACCGUGAGGGAAAGGCGAAAAGAACCCCGGCGAGGGGAGUGAAAAAGAACCUGAAACCGUGUACGUACAAGCAGUGGGAGCACAGAGCAAUCUGUGUGACUGCGUACCUUUUGUAUAAUGGGUCAGCGACUUAUAUUCUGUAGCAAGGUUAACCGAAUAGGGGAGCCGAAGGGAAACCGAGUCUUAACUGGGCGUUAAGUUGCAGGGUAUAGACCCGAAACCCGGUGAUCUAGCCAUGGGCAGGUUGAAGGUUGGGUAACACUAACUGGAGGACCGAACCGACUAAUGUUGAAAAAUUAGCGGAUGACUUGUGGCUGGGGGUGAAAGGCCAAUCAAACCGGGAGAUAGCUGGUUCUCCCCGAAAGCUAUUUAGGUAGCGCCUCGUGAAUUCAUCUCCGGGGGUAGAGCACUGUUUCGGCAAGGGGGUCAUCCCGACUUACCAACCCGAUGCAAACUGCGAAUACCGGAGAAUGUUAUCACGGGAGACACACGGCGGGUGCUAACGUCCGUCGUGAAGAGGGAAACAACCCAGACCGCCAGCUAAGGUCCCAAAGUCAUGGUUAAGUGGGAAACGAUGUGGGAAGGCCCAGACAGCCAGGAUGUUGGCUUAGAAGCAGCCAUCAUUUAAAGAAAGCGUAAUAGCUCACUGGUCGAGUCGGCCUGCGCGGAAGAUGUAACGGGGCUAAACCAUGCACCGAAGCUGCGGCAGCGACGCUUAUGCGUUGUUGGGUA
rnacentral:rRNA from 1 species